CAAGUUCGUUGUGCGGUCGCGGCCGUAUAUAAUACGGGUGAGGAAAGUCCGGGCUUCAUAGGACAGGAUGCCAGAUAACGUCUGGUGAGAGUGAUCUUGGGAAAGUGCAACAGAAAAUAACCGCCCAUAUGGGUAAGGGUGAAAAGGCAGGGUAAGAGCCUACCGCGGUCAUGGUAACAUGAACGGCUGUGUAAACCCCAUCCGAAGCA
rnacentral:RNase_P_RNA from 1 species